rnacentral:rRNA from 1 species
AAAAACAUCGCCUCCUGAAAAUAAUAGGAGGUCCAGCCUGCCCAGUGACCAAGUUAAACGGCCGCGGUACCCUAACCGUGCGAAGGUAGCGCAAUCACUUGUUCUUUAAAUGAGGACUAGUAUGAACGGCAUCACGAGGGUUAUACUGUCUCCUACCUCUAAUCAGUGAAACUGAUCCCCCCGUGAAGAAGCGGGGAUACAACUAUAAGACGAGAAGACCCCAUGGAGCUUUAAACCCAGUACCAACCACCAAAAACUACAUCUCAUUAAACAGGUGGACCUGAUUACUAGUUUUAGGUUGGGGUGACCACGGAGUACAACACAACCUCCAUGAUGAAUGACCUCCCUCUAAUCUGAGAGCAACAGCUCAAAGAAUCAAAAAAUUGACAUCCAUUGACCCAAAUAACUUUGAUCAACGAACCAAGUUACCCUGGGGAUAACAGCGCAAUCCACUUCAAGAGCUCCUAUCGACAAGUGGGUUUACGACCUCGAUGUUGGAUCAGGGUAUCCCAGUGGUGCAGCCGCUACUAAAGGUUCGUUUGUUCAACGAUUAAAACCCUACGUGAUCUGAG